AGACCUGCUCAACCGCCAUAUUCUGGAUGAUACCUUGUGUGCCGGGAAGGUGGUGUCCUCAGGGAAUGGUAUGACUGCUUGGGAUUCAUGGACCCGGCACUGUUCUGGCCAUGAUUUAUCUGAAUGGCUCAAGGAAUGCAAUAUGCAUGACAAAGCUGUCUCAAAGAAAACUAAUAAUUCAUGAUUCAGUUUCCCAGAAGUAGAAAUUUUCUUUUCCUUUCUUUUCUUUCUUCUGUGGAUUUAAUAAAGAACGGUACCUAUAAGCAAUGCAAGA